CUGCGGGCGGCCGUGACCCUGCUGGAGCCCGGGGGCACCUCCAGCCCCCCGGGGGCUCCCUGCGCCUCCUCUGCCGAGCAUCCGGGUUCGAUUUUGGGAAUUUUGCCAUGCAAUGGAUCCGCCAGAGGCCCGGACAGGGGCUGGAGUGGCUCGCAGGGAUCUGCAGCGGUGGCAGCACCUACUACGCGCCCUCAGUCAAGGGCCGUUUCACGAUCUCCAGGGACAACGGGCAGAGCUCGGUGACGCUGACCAUGAACAGCCUCAAGGACGAGGAUUCCGCCGUCUAUUUCUGUGCCAAGGCUGCUGACAAUAGUUGCAGUUAUGCUGGUGCUUAUCGCUUUGACCCCGUCCCCAUCCCCGUGUGUCACCAUCCGCCCUCACGGAGGGGUUUCCUGA